rnacentral:rRNA from 1 species
GUGCCAGCAGCCGCGGUAAUACGAAGGGGGCUAGCGUUACUCGGAAUGACUGGGCGUAAAGGGCGCGUAGGCUGUUUGGUAAGUUGGCGUGAAAUUCCUGGGCUUAACCUGGGGCUGCGUCCAAGACUGCCUGACUUGAGGAUGGAAGAGGCUCGUGGAAUUCCCAGUGUAGAGGUGAAAUUCGUAGAUAUUGGGAAGAACACCGGUGGCGAAGGCGGCGAGCUGGU